UGGGGAAUAUUGCACAAUGGAGGAAACUCUGAUGCAGCGACGCCGCGUGAACGAUGAAGGCCUUCGGGUCGUAAAGUUCUGUCCUAAGGGACGAUAAUGACGGUACCUUAGGAGGAAGCCCCGGCUAACUACGUGCCAGCAGCCGCGGUAAUACGUAGGGGGCAAGCGUUGUCCGGAUUUAUUGGGCGUAAAGGGUGCGUAGGCGGCUUUUUAAGUCAGAUGUGAAAGGUCACGGCUCAACCGUGGUAAGCAUUUGAAACUGAAAGGCUUGAGUUAAGGAGAGGAAAGUGGAAUUCCUAGUGUAGCGGUGAAAUGCGUAGAUAUUAGGAGGAAUACCAGUGGCGAAGGCGACUUUCUGGACUUAUACUGACGCUGAGGCACGAAAGCGUGGGGAGCGAACA
rnacentral:rRNA from 1 species